rnacentral:tRNA from 1 species
CUUAGCUCAGCUGGUUAGAGCGCCGGACUGUUAAUCCGUAGGUCCUAGGUUCGAGUCCUAG